rnacentral:rRNA from 1 species
CAGCAGCCGCGGGAAUACGAAGGGUGCAAGCGCUACUCGGAAUUACUGGGCGUAAAGCGUGCGUAGGUGGUGGUUUAAGUCCGUUGUGAAAGCCCUGGGCUCAACCUGGGAAUUGCAGUGGAUACUGGAUCACUAGAGUGUGGUAGAGGAUAGUGGAAUUUCCGGAGUAGCAGUGAAAUGCGUAGAGAUCGGAAGGAACAUCUGUGGCGAAGGCGACUAUCUGGGCCAACACUGACACUGAGGCACGAAAGCGUGGGGAGCAAACAGGAUUAGAUACCCCUGUAGUCCCUGUCUCUUAUAA